GAUGAACGCUAGCGGCAGGCUUAACACAUGCAAGUCGAGGGGCAGCGGGGUGUAGCAAUACAUCGCCGGCGACCGGCGCACGGGUGCGUAACACGUAUGGAAUCUGCCCUUUACUGGGGGAGUAGCCCGGAGAAAUCCGGAUUAAUACCCCACUAACAAGCGAGGUGGCAUCAUCUUGCUUUGAAAGCUCCGGCAGUAAAGGAUGACCAUGCGCCCGAUUAGCUAGUUGGUGAGGUAAUGGCUCACCAAGGCUACGAUCGGUAGGGGGCCGUGAGAGGGUUAUCCCCCACACUGGUACUGAGACACGGACCGGACUCCUACGGGAGGCAGCAGUGAGGAAUAUUGCGCAAUGGAGGCAACUCUGACGCAGCCAUGCCGCGUGCAGGAAGAAGGCGCUACGCGUUGUAAACUGCUUUUAUCCGGGAAGAAACCCCAGGACGUGUCCUGGGUUGACGGUACCGGAGGAAUAAGCACCGGCUAACUUCGUGCCAGCAGCCG
rnacentral:rRNA from 1 species